rnacentral:rRNA from 1 species
CCUUGUACACACCGCCCGUCACGUCAUGAAAGCUGGUAACACCCGAAGCCGGUGGGCCAACCGCAAGGAGGCAGCCGUCGAAGGUGGGAUCGGUGAUUGGGACG